UUAAAUACACAAACAUUAACAAAAACUGAUGAGUGAAAAAAAGGCUUUAAGUAAAUUUACAAUUUUGUGUUGCACUGCAUUUAUAGCCAUGCUGAGCCACCUGUGGUCUAUGAGCUGUGGAUUGGACACCCCUGUGGCCAAAGGCACUUGGCAUCUCUUUAGCAGUCUUUUUAAUUUUUUUUUUACUUUUAACGUAUUGAUCCUUAGAGAAGGACACAUCAAUCUGUUGUUCUAGCCAUCCAUGCACUCACUGGUUGUACUUACCAGUAUGUGCCCUGACCUGGGAUCAAACCCACAAGCCUGGUGCACUGGGCCAACGCUCUAACCAGCUGAGCCACCUGACCAGGACAAGCAGUCUUACCUUGAGCAACUUCAACUUUAGAAAUGAGAACCCCAAAAGGCACUCCCAGCUCCUCCAGAGCAGUCUUUCUGCCUAUCAAGGAGAGGGAGCCUGUUCACCCUGGAAGCAGUGGCAAGGAUUUUCUUGACCGAACUCUACUCAGUCUUCUCUGAAUUCUCUUCUCCACUACACCCUGACUUCAUCUUUGCAUUGUCCAGUUUCAGCAAGAAUCCUGUUAAGUUAGUGCAGCCAGAAAGUCCUAUUCUCGGUAUUUGAUUGGGUCCCUCAAAUGCCAGCAUCCCUCAGGUGAUGUUUAUUCACCUUGGCCUGCCUUCAGUAAAAAAAUCCUGUUAGAUGACUGAUGCUUUCUCCUUACUAAAUCCCGCCACCCUCUCCCCUCACUCCCUCUGUGUGUCUGUCUGUGUCUCACAGGCUGGCUGUCCGGUGCAUGAUUGGCUCCAGCCCACAGCAGAUUUUGGGGGGAGAAGCUGGACAUUUUACCUCUAUUUCUCUUCCCUUAGCUCUGGCCUCCUGGCGUGUCUAAAUGAGCCUUUGAAGAAAGUAUUGAAGCCAAGGAGAUGCUGGCUUCCCUCCUUGAUGUAGACACCAGGGGAAUGUGGAUCUUCACCUCAUUCUGACCUAUGUCCGGGCUGACAGCAAGUAAGAGAGUUUAGCAGACAUCAUCCCCAUGGGAACUCCAUGGCCCCAGGUGUCUGAGAUCCACAAAGUGAGAUGCGCAGACUUCAUCCCAGUGUGGCUACAAGCCAUAAAGCUAGAGCCAGUGUUUAUGGAGCACCUGUUACAUGCUGGACAUGGUCACAGGAGCUUUACAAACACAAUCUCAUCUAAUCCUGUGUGUCAGCUCUGAACUUGGAGCUAUGACAAUCCUCCCAUCACAGAUGAGGCAGAGGUAAAGCUCAUCUAGUUAAGCAGCGGUGGAGCCAGGAUUUGAGACAAUGAUUUUGGUCCCACGCCUGUGGAGAACCAAAUUCAUCCUAGUUUAUAUUUGUUAUGGAAUGAAUGUUUUUGUCCCUCCAAAAUAGAGUUAAGACAGAAAUCCUGGGAAAAGUAUAAAUUUGUCCUUUAAACCUCUGUUGGUUGCAAUCAUUGAAAACUGCCUAGACAGAAGAAGACCAGAACUAAAUUAGCCAGGUUGUGGUUGCUACACAGACUUGCUAACUUCUGUACAUUCAGCUUUGAGGAGAGGAUGAUGAGAUGGAAGGGCCCCACAGCUAACCAGGAGGCACUGUGAAACAGGAAGGUGUAGGGCAGCUUUGAAAAUGCUGGUGUCCCCAUAGCAUGGAUGGAUGGAUCUGGAGAGCAU